rnacentral:rRNA from 1 species
AACGAACGCUGGCGGCAGGCUUAACACAUGCAAGUCGAGCGCCCCGCAAGGGGAGCGGCAGACGGGUGAGUAACGCGUGGGAAUCUACCCAUCUCUACGGAAUAACGCAUGGAAACGUGUGCUAAUACCGUAUACGUCCUUCGGGAGUAAGAUUUAUCGGAGAUGGAUGAGCCCGCGUUGGAUUAGCUAGUUGGUGGGGUAAAGGCCUACCAAGGCGACGAUCCAUAGCUGGGCUGAGAGGAUGAUCAGCCACACUGGGACUGAGACACGGCCCAUACUACUACGGAAGGCAGCAGUGGGGAAUAUUGGACAAUGGGCGCAAGCCUGAUCCAGCCAUGCCGCGUGAGUGAUGAAGGCCCUAGGGUUGUAAAGCUCUUUCACCGGUGAAGAUAAUGACGGUAACCGGAGAAGAAGCCCCGGCUAACUUCGUGCCAGCCGCCGCAGUAAAAC